rnacentral:rRNA from 1 species
UCGUAGUCGGAUGUCGGGCUUGGGCAGGCUGUCGGCGUUUGUCGGACGGCAGGCUCGGGCCUUUCUGCCUGGGGACCUCGUUGCACUUCAUUGUGGGGCGAUGGGACGCAGGCCGUUUACUUUGAAAAAAUUAGAGUGUUCAAAGCAGGCCUACGCUUGAAUACAUUAGCAUGGAAUAAUGGAAUAGGACUUUGGUGCCAUUCUGUUGGUUUAUGGAACCGAAGUAAUGAUUAAUAGGGACAGUUGGGGCCGUUUAUAUUUCGUUGUCAGAGGUGAAAUUCUUGGAUUUACGAAAGAUAAACUUCUGCGAAAGCAUUCGGCAAGGAUGUUUUCAUUGAUCAAGAACGAAAGUUAGGGGAUCGAAGACGAUCAGAUACCGUCGUAGUCUUAACCAUAAACUAUGCCGACUAGGGAUCAGUGGAUGUCAAUUUGCGACUCCAUUGGCACCUUGUGAGAAAUCAAAGUUUUUGGGUUCCGGGGGGAGUAUGGUC